CUAGUUCUGCCUCUCCUGUCCAAGAGCCACCGCGUCUGUGGGUAUCGGCCACACACACACCAGCCCUCAGUGUGCCAGCGAGUGUUUUCCAGGGUUGAACCCUCAGACAACGAACCCUUCCAAGGAAUAACUUCAUCUCCAGGCCACGCAGAGAGCUUGCUGCCAGCGCUAAACCAGCAGACAAAGCACCCGUUAAUUAACAGAGGAUCUCAGAUGGCUUUUCAGAGGUCCAUUUCAUGCAGAGCAGCACUUCUGUCCAGUGCAGCAGUCGUUGUGACGCCAAAAAGCACACCUUACAGCUGACGUACCCGGCCCCUUCCCUGGCCAUGGCUGCCCCACAGCCUGCCCUGCCCCCCCGCUGCUUGGAGCUUCCUCCCCCUGUGGGUGGGUCAGGGCUGGAGAGCACAGCCUGCAGGCUUUGGGGCACCCCGUUAAGCAGACAGAGGAGGAUUUCAGUUUCUGAGACCGCCUUUAAGGUUCUCUUCCAACUCCCUUGACAGCAGUUAAUAGACGGGUGCUUAGGGCCAGAGCUACGCAGCCGAUCCCUCCUCCCCACCUUGGAGAUCUGUGAUGUUCCAUACUUCAAGAAAUAAAUACCUUGGCGGUGGGAGACUAUUAAAAUUUAAAAUGGGAAGGAAUUUCUAAGUGCAACAUCAGAAUCAUUUGUCAGCUCAAAAUAAAGGACGGAUCUGAAAUCACAAGGAGGAAAAAAACCCGUGCCUCAACUUCACAUAAAUUCGUAAUGAAAUAAUUUAACUCAGAAGGCAGGGGAAUUGCUGUUUGAUUUCCACUACUUACAUUUCACACUGUCCUUUCAAGAUACAGAGGUUAUUAAAAAUAUAUAUUUAACG
rnacentral:lncRNA from 1 species